AUUGAACGCUGGCGGCAUGCCUUACACAUGCAAGUCGAACGGCAGCACGGGUGCUUGCACCUGGUGGCGAGUGGCGAACGGGUGAGUAAUAUAUCGGAACGUACCUUAUUGUGGGGGAUAACGCAGCGAAAGCUGUGCUAAUACCGCAUAAUCCCUAAGGGGGAAAGCGGGGGACCGGAAGGCCUCGCGCAAUUAGAGCGGCCGAUACCUGAUUAGCUAGUUGGUGAGGUAAAGGCUCACCAAGGCAACGAUCAGUAGCUGGUCUGAGAGGACGAUCAGCCCCACUGGGACUGAGACACGGCCCAGACUCCUACGGGAGGCAGCAGUGGGGAAUUUUGGACAAGGGGGGCAAGCCUGAUCCAGCAAUGCCGCGUGAGUGAAGAAGGCCUUCGGGUUGUAAAGCUCUUUUGUCAGGGAAGAAACAGCAGCUCUAACACAGUUUGCGAAUGACGGUACCUGAAGAAUAAGCACCGGCUAACUACGUGCCAGCCGCCGCCGUAA
rnacentral:rRNA from 1 species